rnacentral:lncRNA from 1 species
AUGGCACACAUGUCCCUGGCACACAUGCCCCAGACAUACAUGUCCCUGGCACACACGUCCCUGUCACACAUGGUCCUGGCACGCAUGUCCCUGGCACACAGGUCUUAUGGCACACAUGUCCCUGGCACACAUGGCCCCGUCACACAUGCCCCUGACAUACAUGUCACUUGCACACACGUCCCUGUCACACACGCCCCUGGCACACAUGUCCCUGGCACAUAUGUCCCUGGCACACAUCCCCCGGUCCCUGGGGCGUUUUCCUGCCCGGGUCUGGAGCAGGCGAGGGGGUGCGAGGUCCCUCCAGCUCCACUGUGCCACUCCCGAGGGUCCCGGCCGUGCCAGCCCCGAGGGUUCCACCGUGCCAAUAGCGGGGGUUCCGGCCGUGCCAAUACCAGGGAUCCCGGCCGGGCCAAUCCCGGCCGUGCCAUCCCCGGGGGUCCCUGCAGUGCCAGCCCCGAGAGUCCCAACCGUGUCAGCCCCGGGGGUUCCACCGUGCCAAUCCCGGGAGUCCCUACAGUGCCAUUCCGGGGGGUCCCUACAGUGCCAAUUCCGGGGAUCCCUGCAGUGCCAUUCCCGGCCGUGCCAGCCCCGGGGGUCCCGCGGUGCUCCCGGAGCCACCGCGCCGGCAGCGCCCGCCUGAACCUGAACGGCAGCGAAGGGGGAAAGAAAUCAAAGCCAGGGCAGAGAGAAGCCCGGGAAGCUCGGGAACAUCGGGGAAAGCUCGGGGGAAGCGUCCCGGGCCGGGCUCGGGGCAGGGGCUGCCACCCCCGCCGGGCACCGGGGGCCGGGGCGGCUCCCAGCGCGCUCCCCUCCCGCUGCCGAGCUUUGCCUCAGAUCAAAACAGCCCCGAAAGCCCCAGAAAUCACCGGGGAGGGGAGGAGGAACGUCAGCAGGAGCUGGACUUCUAAAAAACCGUUCCGCCCCAUAGGCUUUAAUAUUAAAAACCCCCUAGGAGCCUCAGACACUGUAUUAAUUAGUGCAACCACCCAUGAAAAGUUGGGUUUGGAACAGCAUUCUUUGCCCUGUGUGAAACAGCAACCCUAA